CAAUAGCGUAUAUUAAAGUUGUUGCAGUUAAAAAGCUCGUAGUUGGAUUUCUGAAUUGAAUAUCCGGUCCGCUCGUCUCUGAUGAGUGCGUACUUAUGGAUAUUGGAUUCAUUUUUUGUGAGGACAUUUAUCUGUCAUUAAGUUGAUGGAUUUAUAGACUUGCAUCGUUUACUGUGAAAAAAUUAGAGUGCUCAAAGCAGGCGUCUCGCCUGAAUAGUGGUGCAUGGAAUAAUGGAAUAGGACGUCAGUUCUAUUUGUUGGUUCGGAAUUUGACGUAAUGAUUAAGAGGGACAGACGGGGGCAUUCGUAUUGCUACGUUAGAGGUGAAAUUCUUGGAUCGUAGCACGACGAACAACUGCGAAAGCAUUUGCCAAGAAUGUUUUCAUUA
rnacentral:rRNA from 1 species